AGCAUUGACACUUUUUUUUUUAAAUCUUCUAUCUUAAAACAGAGAAACAUUCUGUGCAACCAAAAUGCCAUUAAAAAACAUGGACUUCAGGUACUCUGCUAAUACACAUAAUGCCAUUCCAUUAUUACUGGUAUUUUUGAAAUGACUCUUUGUUAUGGAAACAUUUAGGAAACAAAAGUAUGAUAUCUGCCUGCUAGAUGAAGCAAAAAAAAUAUAUUAAAAUAUAAAUAAAUAAUUAAACAUGCUCCUCCAUUCACACUGGAACACAACUGACUUUGUGCCAGGCGUACAUUUUCUAACUUCUGGUGAACAUAGUUAAGGCCAUUGCAUUCAUCAAGAGCUUACAGUAUAGUGAGGUGGCACAUAAACAUGACAAGUGAGGCUAAGCUGAAAAAAAAUGUGUUAGUGCCACACAGGUGGCUUGGCAUUUAUUGACCACUUAACUUUAUGUGCUCUUGGUAGUGCCACACAGGAGGGUUGGCAUUUAUUGACCACUUAACUUUAUGUGCUCUUGUUAGUGCCACACAGGUGGCUUGGCAUUUAUUGACCACUUAACUUUAUGUGCUCUUGUUAGUGCCACACAGGAGGGUUGGCAUUUAUUGACCACUUAACUUUAUGUGCUCUUGUUAGUGCCACACAGGUGGCUUGGCAUUUAUUGACCACUUAACUUUACAUGAUCUUGUUAGUGCCACACAGGUGGCUUGGCAUUUAUUGACCACUUAACUUUACAUGAUCUUGUUAGUGCCACACAGGAGGCUUGGCAUUUAUUGACCACUUAACUUUAUGUGCUCUUGUUAGUGCCACACAGGUGGCUUGGCAUUUAUUGACCACUUAACUUUAUGUGCUCUUGUUAGUGCCACACAGGUGGCUUGGCAUUUAUUGACCACUUAACUUUACAUGAUCUUGUUAGUGCCACACAGGUCGCUUGGCAUUUAUUGACCACUUAACAUUACGUGCCUUUUUCCGAACUCCAUGCAGGCUUUUAUAUGUUGUCUGGCCACCCUGCCACCAAGUCCGGAUGUGGAGUAUUGCAGUGGUGGUUGUCCUUCUGGAAGUUUCUCCCAUCUCCACCCAGGUUCUCUGCCAGAGUGAUCGCCAGGUUUGUGGUCACCUCUCUCACCAAGGCCCUUCUCUCCAAAUUGUUCAGUUUUGCUGGGUGGCCAGCUCUAGAGUGAGUUGUCGUCAUUUCAGACAUCUUCAAUGUAAGAAUUAUUAAGGGUCCAUAAUAAGUAGGUGUGAUAAUGUUACUUUAUUAACACCCUGUAAACAGUCGAGUGCCCUGGAGCCAUGGCAAGGAGAUCUAUCUACCCUAUGUUGCUUUAGAAUGCCUCGCUGUUAGAAUCGAUCACUCAGACCUGUGCGUCUUUUGGUGUACAAGGUGACUCGUGUGAAAGAAGCGUAUGUCUCUGUUUUUAGCUGGGCUGCUGCCUGUGCCUUCUGAGCCACUUCAAACAAUCUACAAGUGCAGUGCCAGGUGUGCGACUGCAAGACCAGAGAAGAGUGAACCGGGGAGACAACGAUGGACCCCCAUGCUGGGCUGAUGGAGACAGAGAAAGAGAGAGAGAGGGGAGAUGGAGGUCAAUCAGGGGGAGAGGCAGGAGGACGGAGAAAUGAAAGAGGGGUGCAGCACGGAUGCCUCGCAUCUGGGAAUGUUACAAGAGAAUCCCGACUUUGAUUUUAAACUACUGAAUUUGGAAAACCUUCACCGUGGACACCGGGGUUGAUGAUACUUAUUGGAAGUUAUUACGUAUUUAUUAAGGAGAAAGAGCAGUGCACUGUUUUUGAGUGAGACACAUUGAAUAAAAGCACCUGCACUUUACGCCCAUCCAUUGCCGACGGUGUGUGUCCUCACUUGCUACAGCCCAUCCGUAGUUUAAGGGGUUCCCAAAACUGGUUUCCAGGAGUGUGGAGCCAACCCGCUUUGUCACGCGGUGAUGCUACAUUACAGAAAGACUUAUUUAACUACGACAACACAUCUGUGAGGCUGACUCACGGCCAGUUGGUAUAAAAGCUGCCCCUUAAAUGAGGGGUGGGUCCCGUUUUGCUGGCGCAAGGUGCAAAAUGAUUGGUGUACGUACGCUAAGUAAGCCCCCAGGCCUUGAAGGAAGCCCAGCAUGUGAAGAGCCAGCUUUGAUCCUGCCACUGGAAAGAAUACGGUCAACCCAGAUCCUCAAUCUUGAGCCUGUCAUUACAUUUUUGAUU